UACGAGGGGGGCGAGCGUUGUUCGGAAUUAUUGGGCGUAAAGGGUGCGUAGGCGGUUUUGUAAGUCUUAUGUGAAAUCUAUGGGCUCAACUCAUAGACUGCAUGAGAAACUGCAGGGCUUGAGUAUGGGAGAGGUGAGUGGAAUUCCUGGUGUAGCGGUGAAAUGCGCAGAUAUCAGGAAGAACACCCGUGGCGAAGGCGGUUCUCUGGGACGGUACUGACGCUGAGACGCGAAAGCGUGGGGAGCGAACAGG
rnacentral:rRNA from 1 species